rnacentral:rRNA from 1 species
UGGGGGAUAUUGCACAAUGGAGGAAACUCUGAUGCAGCAACGCCGCGUGAGGGAAGAAGGUCUUCGGAUUGUAAACCUUUGUCCUCGGUGACGAUAAUGACGGUAGCCGAGGAGGAAGCUCCGGCUAACUACGUGCCAGCAGCCGCGGUAAUACGUAGGGAGCGAGCGUUGUCCGGAUUUACUGGGUGUAAAGGGUGCGUAGGCGGCUCUGCAAGUCAGGUGUGAAAACUAUCAGCUUAACUGAUAGACUGCAUUUGAAACUGUGGAGCUUGAGUGGAGCAGAGGCAGAUGGAAUUCCCGGUGUAGCGGUGAAAUGCGUAGAGAUCGGGAGGAACACCAGUGGCGAAGGCGAUCUGCUGGGCUUUAACUGACGCUGAGGCACGAAAGCAUGGGUAGCAAACAGG